rnacentral:rRNA from 1 species
UACGUAGGGUGCGAGCGUUGUCCGGAAUUAUUGGGCGUAAAGAGCUCGUAGGCGGUUUGUCGCGUCGGCCGUCGAAAUCUCCACGCUUAACGUGGAGCGUGCGGUCGAUACGGGCAGACUUGGAGUUCGGUAGGGGAGACUGGAAUUCCUGGUGUAGCGGUGAAAUGCGCAGAUAGUCAGGAGGAACACCGGUGGCGAAGGCGGCAUCCUGGGACCGGU